GAGACGCAACCCCUAUCCUCAGUUGCCAUCAUUAAGUUGGGCACUCUGUGGAGACUGCCGGUGUUAAACCGGAGGAAGGUGGGGAUGACGUCAAGUCCUCAUGGCCCUUAUGACCAGGGCUACACACGUGCUACAAUGGCCGGUACAAAGAGUUGCGAGACCGCGAGGUGGAGCCAAUCUCAGAAAGCCGGUCUCAGUUCGGAUUAGAGUCUGCAACUCGACUCUAUGAAGUUGGAAUCGCUAGUAAUCGCGGAUCAGCACGCCGCGGUCGAAUACGUUCCCGGGCCUU
rnacentral:rRNA from 1 species